rnacentral:rRNA from 1 species
UACGUAGGGCGCAAGCGUUGUCCGGAAUUAUUGGGCGUAAAGAGCUCGUAGGCGGUCUGUCGCGUCUGCUGUGAAAACUCGGGGCUUAACCCCGGGCCUGCAGUGGGUACGGGCAGACUAGAGUGCGGUAGGGGAGACUGGAAUUCCUGGUGUAGCGGUGAAAUGCGCAGAUAUCAGGAGGAACACCGGUGGCGAAGGCGGGUCUCUGGGCCGUAACUGACGCUGAGGAGCGAAAGCAUGGGGGAGCGAACAGG